UUUACUAUUUAUUUUUUUAAUGUAUAAUGUUUUAACCAAGAAGAUUUAAAGUAAAAAUAUACAUAAUAAUGUGUUUUCUACAUGUUUUUCUAUCUGUUGAGCAACCUAAAAAUUGCUGAAAGAACGCUUUGUCAUUUCUAUAAUUACCCAGGUAAUUAAUACGCAAUUUAGGUACCCAGCACCAUGUAUUACUUAUUUCUACUUCGCCGAUCAUCAUUAUCUUACACCGAUCCAUCGUUCGGUCGUUCAUUAUUGAUAUAUGUAUGUUUCGAAAGAGUUUAAAAGAAAAGAAGAUUGCGUUUUAUGAACCAGCCAAAAGAAUAUGUUUUCAACUGGUCUUUUUAUGACUAGUAUCGAGAAUUUAUUUUAUAAAUCCCUUCGAUCUAUCUGGAAUGUAGUUCCGCCUGUUUUUUAUAAGAAAGUUUUACAUUCGCCAACAAACUACUAAGUAAUUUCACGAUUUUUACAACGUUGAACAUAAGCCUUCCCCAUAAGAGGAGUCAUGCCAGUAGUUGUCACGCUUGGCAGGCGGGUUGGUAAUUACAAUUAGGCUUUUACAGAUGUUUUAAGAGGUACGCUGCUGCCCAUCCCUCCACCAUAAGCUCCCUUAGUCGCUUCUUACGACACCCACGGGAAAGGAAUAGGUGGCUCAUUCUAUGCCGGGGCCGACACGGCAAAUAAUGAAAUAUUGAAUGCUAAAUUGGUCAUUUUCGACUUGAUACUAACAGGUGCUCUUAGAUUAUAUGAUACUUAUAAAGACCAGAGGCGAAUUAAAUGUUGAAAGUGCCCUAGGCAAGCACCUCAUCGGCGCGUCUCUAGUGACCUCUAUAGUAUAAAUUUUAAAUAGUAGAUACUUAGUAGUAAGCAUUGAUGACUGAAGUUAUAAAUUACUUAUUUAAAAAUUGACACUAAUAACAUUAAAUGAAAAAUGUUAACAAAUGUUAAACUUAGAAGAUUCUGUGUCUACUUUUUUGUCUUGUGAAUUUGUUAAUUAACAUCGUUAUAAUUUGGUAAUAACAUUGUUAUAUGUAAUUUAAAGAUAAGAUAAAGAUAAGUUUGAUUCAAUCUUAAAUAUUUCUAAUAUGAUGUUACGCAUGGGUACCACAGAAUAUCAGCGUUGUAGCAAUUAAAUUGCUACAGCACAUGCUGAGUGGCGACCACGUUGGCAAUAACAAAUGCAAAUUUUUUUUUAAAUUGAUUAUUUAUGUAACUUUUUUUUGU